AUGCUCACUUCGGCAGCACAUAUACUAAAGUUGAAAUGAUACAGAGAUGAUUAGCAUGACCUCUGUGUAAGGAUGACAUGCAAAUUCGUGAAGUGUUCAUAUUUUUA